UUUUUCCGAAUUAGGUUUUCGUUGCUUGUAGAUGGACUAUUGAAUUGAACUGAAAUUACUGGUCUAAUGGAGUCGAAGUAACUGAGCUGUCUGUAGUUUCCUUAGUAUCCAUAUUGAGGUCUGAGCUCCAAAAUGCAAUUACACUACUUCCAAGUUGGAGUUGAAAGGAAUGUAACUGCAAUUGGAAGGCUAUUUCCUCAUUGCGAAAGUUUGGAAGAUACUUGGUUUUUGUUGCUUUCUGUCAAAAUGUGUGUGCGCGUGUUUUUUUUUUUUUUCGAAUUAGGAUUUCGUUGCUUGUAGAUGGACUAUUGAAUUGAACUGAAAUUACUGGUCUAAUGGAGUCGAAGUAACUGAGCUGUCUGUAGUUUCCUUAGGAUCCAUAUUGAGGUCUGAGCUCCAAAUUGCAAUUACACUACUUCCAAGUUGGAGUUGAAAGGAAUGUAACUGCAAUUGGAAGGCUACUUCCUCAUUGCGAGUGUUUGGAAGAUACUUGGUUUUUGUUGCUUUCUUUUGAUUUAACUAAAUGCUUGCAAUUCAAUUCACUCGUGCAUUAAAAUGCGGUGUUAGUGUUUUCCUGAGAAGGUUUUGCAUACAAAUUAAUGUUAUAGUGCAGGAUUCGGAAUUAUGGGGUACUGUGGUUGAAUUGAAUCUUAUUUCUUCUUCUU